UGGGACUUUAGUAAUUGCGAAUGAACAAGGAUAUGCUUAGCUUGACAAAUGGAGCUAUUGGCUUUGAAUUGUAUUGUGGAAAUGUAUUACCAACAGAGGUGCAGGUGCCAGCCUAUUGAAAUAAAGCGUCAAUGAGGGUGAGAAUCCUGUUUGUCAUGUGCAGCCCUUUGUGCACGGUGUAUAUUUGCUGAGUCACACUCCUUGGCAUUGGAAUGCAAAGUGGGUGGUAAGUUUCAUGUAAAGGUAAACAUGCAAUUGAGACUGAUAGCACACAAGUACCAUGAGGGAAAUAUGAAAAGGACUUUGAAAAGAGAAUUAAAUGAGUUUGUAUUUGCUGAACACAAAGUAAACAGACUUGAUUUGCUUGGUGGGAGUGUUGCACUUGCUUGACAAGAGCUUUGGGCUGUGGGUGUAAUGAUUCUUUCUUUGCAUGCCAGUUUCUAUUUGUACAUCUGAUUACCUUUGCACAUGAAUGAUAAGUCUCCUGUGGGGGGUGGAUUGCAUGUGCAUGUAAUGAUUUGUGUUUUGAUAAAUGUGUCUGGUGUAUGUGUGUGUUCCUGUGCUUGGGGAUGCUUCCUUCCUUGGACUUACAAGCCCUGACACACACAUGCUGGCAAAAUGCUUCUGCUUGACCCGUCUUGAAACACGGACCAAGGAGUCUAACAGAUGUGCAAGUUUGAAGGUGGUAUACCUUUGUGUGCAAUGAAAGUGUCAGCUGGGAUAUGUGCACCAGCACCCAAUUAAUUAGCGGACAGAGGUUUGAGUUGGAGCAUAUCUAUUAGACCCGAAAGAUGGUGAACUAUGCCUGAACAGAAUGAAUUCAGAGGAAACUCUGAUGGAGGUUCGUAUCGAUACUGACGUGCAAAUCUUCGUCAUAUUUGGGUAUAGGGGGAAACUAAUCGAACUCUAGUAGCUGUUCCCUCCGAAGUUUCCCUCAGGACUGGAGUUGCUCAGUUUU
rnacentral:rRNA from 1 species